rfam:Fukomys damarensis contig93400, whole genome shotgun sequence.
CUGCCCACUCACCUCGCCAGCACACGGAGUAAAAUCGGACCGAUGCAGAAAAGAUCACCAGGCAGGGCCCCUGGGCAAAGAUGACAUGCAAAUUCAUAAAGCACACCGUAUUUUU